GUGGGGAAUAUUGGACAAUGGGGGGAACCCUGAUCCAGCCAUGCCGCGUGUGUGAAGAAGGCCUUUUGGUUGUAAAGCACUUUAAGCGAGGAGGAGGCUACCGAGAUUAAUACUCUUGGAUAGUGGACGUUACUCGCAGAAUAAGCACCGGCUAACUCUGUGCCAGCAGCCGCGGUAAUACAGAGGGUGCAAGCGUUAAUCGGAUUUACUGGGCGUAAAGCGCGCGUAGGUGGCCAAUUAAGUCAAAUGUGAAAUCCCCGAGCUUAACUUGGGAAUUGCAUUCGAUACUGGGUGGCUAGAGUAUGGGAGAGGAUGGUAGAAUUCCAGGUGUAGCGGUGAAAUGCGUAGAGAUCUGGAGGAAUACCGAUGGCGAAGGCAGCCAUCUGGCCUAAUACUGACACUGAGGUGCGAAAGCAUGGGGAGCAAACAGGAUUAGAUACCCGUGUAGUCC
rnacentral:rRNA from 1 species